CCCCUGCCGCCAUUGGCUGGUGCGCGGCCGGGUUUCCCGCGCGCGCGGCCGGGCGCGAUGGCGGCGGAGCGGGGCAUGGAGCUGGUGCGGGAGCUGCACCGCGCCGCCGGCGGGCACCUCCCGCCCUUCCGGACGGAGGAGCUGCGGCAGGCGCUGGAGGAGAUGCGGACGCUGUACGAGCGGAACCAGGCGGACGUGUCCGAAGCGAAGGCGGGACGGACGGACCUAAUUUUCCUCAUCCGGUUCCGGCACUGCUGCCUGCUCCGCAACCAGCGCUGCCUCCUGGCGUACCUGUAUGACCGGUUGCUACGGAUCCGAGCGCUGAGGUGGGAGUAUGGCAGCGUUCUGCCCAACACCAUCCAGUUCCACAUGUCAGCUGAGGAAGUGGAGUGGUUCAAUCGGUACAAAAAGUCUCUGGCUACCUACAUGAGGUCAGUAGGAGGAGAGGAGGGGCUGGACCUCACACAGGACAUCAAACCUCCUAAAAGCCUGUACAUUGAAGUGCGGUGUUUAAGAGACCAUGGGGAGUUUGAGAUCGAUGAUGGCACUACCAUCCUGUUGAAGAAGAACAGCCAGAAGACAAACUCACAGAAACCCAACACCUGGUUGCUCAGUGCCCUGGAGAUAAACCCACCUGUUUGAGUGCAGGCUGGUGACUGAAGGAUUCAUAAAGAAUUAAAGUUGCAGCUGAAUUUGAAGGCUGCUGCCAGCAAGCAGCACGGUUCUCCCCAUUCUCCUUGUUUGCAAGGAGCCCCAGAGAGGAGAAGGGAGAGGCCAGGGCAUCAUCUGCCACUGCUCCUCAUAUCCCUUCUCCACUGCAGAGUGGUUCCUUGUCAGGAUGUGCUGGUAAGAAGCUGCUGCUCCCCACAACUCCCCUGUGAACACCAGAAACUCCAGGAUUUGAUGUGCACAAAGGCAGGACUAUAAAGCAGGCAGAAGAUCUGUAGGUAGCUUUGUGCUCCUUGAUCUGUUCCAUCACCUGCAGGGCGGUUUAGGAUUUUCUCUUGCAGUGCUGCAACAGAAAACCCAGCAAGCAUCACUGACCUCUCACUUCAGCAGCAAAGAGAGUAAAUAUGGAAACUGAGGCCUCUCCCACGAGCAUGCACAGCUGUCUGAAGAGGAGGUUGGGCUCACAUUGUCACCUCUGAGCAAGCAAGUUAGAAGUGUGCUGCAAGCCAAGGGUGACAGGGCUCUGAUACAGCCCCUACCAUCAGGAGACACCUGGCUGUUUCUCCUCUUGGUCCUGUCCCUGGUUUUACUGUGACAACAAUACUGAGUGAUCUCUGGUUCCUCACAAGACCCACACAAACAUUUCACAAGGUGACAGUGAUUUCCACAGAGCCUUUGCCAGCCAGUGAGGCAAAGGCUCCAAACCCUCCUACCAGUUAAGACAAGCUGGAGAAGCACAUGAAAUAGCCCCACACGAGCGAUGAGGCACCACCCUGCUCCCCAGCCUGAACUCUCUCUCCAGCAACCCUACUCGAGCAGAUGUCUCAUCAGUCACGCUGUAGCAGCUGUGCUUACCAAGCAGUCAGGACACCUCCCCCCACCCCACUCACCUUGGUUUCCAGCUGCACCUUCAGGUCCUGCAGCUGCUCUUGGAGCUGCUCCACUGGGAGUGACAUUUCUGUAAACACAGAAGUAGAACAAGAAGGCUUGGAAAGGGGUGUAAGGGCAGAGAGGAGCCCUGUGAGGGGGGAGGCCUACAAGACAGGACUGAUCAGGAUGGCUGCAGCUUCAUCCAGUCCAUAAGGGGUUUGGGGGAUGGCAUACAACCCCAAAAGAUGAACAUUCCUCAUCUAUCUGGCAACUAGUCCCAGUGCUGUAUCACCCCUCUUGACCAGAAGCUUUCAUCUAAUGCUCAACUUGAAUUUUCCAACCCACAGUUUGAGGCUACUUCCUCUUUAUUGCAUUAUUUCCUCAGCAUCUUCAACACUGAAAAUCUGCCAGUUCACCCAUAGCUGCCUACUUCACAGGUUCCAUCAGCAGCUCUCAAGUUGGAAAACCCUCCUCUCCUCCAUCUUCCUCCUCCCCACCACCCAUCCUCUCCUUCUUCCCUCCCAAGGCUACCCAGUACCAGAACUGGCAGCAGUAGUUCAGGCACAACAAGCUUCCCCACACUCCCAUGCAAACUUGGAUGCAGAGGGAACUUCGUCAUUGCUGAGAGGAUGGGCACUGAGCCCUCCUGCGCGUCACCUGCUGCUGGCAGCCCUCCCUCAGCCCUGCUCUCCUGCAGCUGGAGGCGCAGCUUCUGCAGCUCCCUUCGCAGCGCUCUGUUCUGCUCGUACAGCACCUGAAACAAACACUGCUCAGGACACAGGACAAAGUUCCUCCAAAGCUCCUGGCAGGGCCUCUCCCAGCCCCAGCACAGCCUUCCCAAACAAAGGAAGACAUUGGAGAAUUUGGAGGAGCCAAAGACGAAAUAUAACCUCAGAUUUCCAAGACCACCAUCGCUACACAGUGUAAAGCACAAAGCAACUGCCCCUGAAUGCAAAAGCAUGCAAAAACAGGGUGUUUGCCAACACCUCAGGGGGCUGGGCCUCCUGAGACCCUCCUGACCUAAAUAACCAUUGGUACAAUCCAGAAGAAACAUCAUCAUCUCUGCAGAAGGCCAGGGGUUUGUGUUUACAUCCUCAAGAUUCUCUUGUGGCCAUAGGGGCUGGCCAACAAGCACUACUCUAUGCAGAGAAGGCAACCAGCAGAAUUCACAGUGAAGCAAAGCCCACAGGCCUCAGGGAGGGAACUUUUCCAGGUUGCAGAAGGAAUAAAACAAGGGAAGAAGGUGCUGAUCCCAUAGGAAGCACAGCACGAGGCAGGUCCUGCUGGUUUCCUGGUGCCAGAGACACCCUGAGGCCAGCACAGGAGCUCAUCCCAUCUCCAUCAGCAGGGAGUCCCAGAGCUGAACACCAAGUAAUGAGCCACCACACCAGCGCAAUGAGCCACUUCCAUGGAGGGGUCUGGAGACGGGCAGCUGCUUGCUUCACUUCACAUCCUCUAUCCUGUACUGGAAGCAACAGCAUACAAGGCAUCCUGCCUUCUUCUGGACUGUUCAUUUUGAGCAGACAUCCAAUUACACCCCAUAUCCUGCCACCAGGAAACUGAUGUGCUGCAAGAGUCUAUGAACUAGGACACUUCCAGUUAACAAAUAUUACUGAGCAGAUGUAGACAAAUGCAAACCCAGUUUGUUUCAUCUCCAUUCUAAACACGAAAGGGGGGCUGAGAGCAUUCAAUGAGGGUAAAGGAUAAACCCCAGUGGGUGCCUUCACAGGGGCAGGUGAAGCCUGAAGGUCAAACAUUUCCAUCCAUCAGCAUUCUCAUGGACAACUCUGGGGCUGCUCAACGAGAGGAAAAAUUGCAGCACUGAGCAAAUCCAACCCUCUGGUGCCACCUGGAGCAACGCUGCACUGGAUAGUGCUUGAGAAUAUUUGCCUUUAAUUACAGCUUGGAGAAGGGCUGCCUGAUGCAUCCACAAAAUGGCUUUGCUGAAAGUCUGCAGUUCAGCCCUUGCUGGGGGGAUGUGACUGUCCCUGUCCCUGUUCAGGGGUGCUCCCCAGCCACACACAGCAUUUGGGAACAAAUAGGCAAUGUGACAAGUGCAGAACUCAAAGAACAGAGCACCCAGCACAAGUUAAAGAUACACAAGUUAAAAAUGCAAGAUACACACGUUAAAAAUGGGACAAGGGAAACAGUUUGUGCUCGUGCCUCAGAGAGGCCCAAGCUCUGGGAGGGAGCACAGCACCCUGCAGGAAGUACAAUACACACAGCACCAGUUCUUGGACCACACACACACACACACACCCACACCCACCCACACCAGAUAUCUGGAUGGCUUACCUUGACUCUCUAGCAGAGUUCAGCAGCAACAAGAUUUUUAGGGGUUUUUUUUAAGCGGGGGCAAGAAGGAAGGGAAAAACAAAAAGAUAAAAGACUUUAGCUGUUAAUAUGGUUUCCAAAUUAGAACAGCUUUUUCUCCUUGUGCUCAAGAAGAAAUCCAACAGAGCCCAGGGUCUGUCCUUAAAAACAGAGGUACAUGGUUCCCUAACAAAAUAGUCCACGGCUACAAGCAGGAAGGAAUUUAUGAUCCACCCCUACUCUCUCCUGCCAAAAUCCUAGCAAGACAAACAACCCACGGAGGGCUUCAGGAGUGAGGAGACAGGACUCUGAGCAAAGUAAGAGGGAUCCCUCUGCCCUAUGAUCAGGUCUGCCUCCUUCCACUCCCUCAGGCCCAAGUGGCCAAGAGAUGUGCUGCAGAGAGCACCACUGUGACAGUAGCAGUGCUGCCCACACAUACCUGGCACUGCUGCUCAUACUCCAGGACAAUCUCGGCAAAGCGCUCGCUCUGCUUCAGGAACUCUGGGCUGUGGGGCUCCCCCUGCUCCAGCUGCACAAAGAAACACUUCUCAUCAAGAAAAUCAUCUCCAAAUCGAGAUUCAAAAGCUCUGCUAAAUCCCUGGGGUCACGGGGCACACCCAUACAUUCAACAGAAGGCUCCCUAAGGGGCCCAUCACCUGUGGGAUGGGUCAGAAAGAGGAGGAAAAACAAUUUUCUCCACAUAUGAGACACCAAACUGCAGGCAGGCUUUCCUGGCUAGCAAGAUCACAGACUCACUACUUUCCCCAGAUUCAUUUUAGGAGUGGAAGAUACUAAAACAAACCCUUUAUUUCAAUACUAGUGAAAAAUAAAACUUUUCUGGAAACCGAACUCUGUAAGUUUUCCCUUGAAGACUGCAGAUUUGCAGAAUUCUCUACAACUGGAAAAUUUCCUCACACCUUUCCCCCCCCCCCCCCAGCUUCCAGGCUGUCAUUAAAGCACAGGAGAGCUGACACAGGGGGAGACCAUAGCAACUGACACAAAAUAUGCAAGAUCAGUUUUUUCAAUGAAUUCCUGAAAAGUUCUUAUUUGACUGCAAUAAGGAAAAGUUACCUUAUCCUUCACAAUGUGGUUGAGUUCUUUUUGCAGCUCUGACACCAUUUCCUCAGAGGCUGACAGUUUCUCAGCCAUCUCCAUGACUUUAUUUUGUAGCUGUGUGUUCUCCUGCAGAUAAAAUGGAGAUUUCCCUGAUGCAGUGGGUCCUGACAUGGCAGGAUGGGUUUAUCAGCCAUCCUGACCACGGGAUCAUCUCUACCUCUGCUCCCAAAAAUUGUGGUUUCCCUCACAGUUAACAAAGGCAGCAAGUCCUGAGCUAUCUCCAUCUGUACUUUUACACUGACCAGAACUGGGGUAAUCCCAGGCAUGCAGACACCAUCAUCUCUGCCUUUGACAUGGCCCCUGGCACAAUUUUAGCUUUGGCCAUUGUGUUUUCAGGUGUUACCAAGGGCCAAACCACUGCCAACAGACAACACAGCAGUUUAGCAAUAGCAUGGCAAGGUAACAAGGUCUGUAUUUAAUACAACUGUAUGGAUGUGGCAGAUGAUUCUUCUCCAUAAAAUUCCUGUUCUUCCCAACAAGAGCAAAGUGAACCAUCUAUAUUUGUCACCACCUCUGCUUUGCCACCUCUGAAAGAGUGAAGGUGUUUCAUCCAAGGCAGUUGUACUUACAUUCAUCACAUGGUUCAGUCUCCCUUGUAGGUUGGCCUCUUUGCCCUGGAGGAGCUGUGUAGCAGCCUCCAGCUUUGCCUGGUGACUCACUGCUUGCUGCAAAAGCAGGUCUUUUGCCUCUACUUCUGCCUGAAAAUUCCUGGGGGAAAAAAAGCAACAUGGUUGGGACAGACACAGAGCAUGUUCCUGGAUGGCCACAAGCAGGAGAUGAGAGCUUUGUUGGAAGGAUGCUGAGAUAAUAGGGGUGGAGAGGGGUCUUCAAGGACUUUCCUGCCACUGACACAUUGGCAAAACAAGUGGGAGAUUCAAAAGGGAUGUGUAAGCACAUUUUCUCCACCCCACCAAAAGAACCCCUUCUACCUGAGUUUGCUCUGGGUGUGCUCAAGAGCGAUGUACUGCUCAUCCAGCUCCCUGCCCAGCUGCAGGCAGUGUUUCUCUGCCUUCUCCAAACUGAGCUUUGCCUUGUCCCUCUCCCUGGCGAUCUGCCUCACCUGGGUCCUGCUGACACAGCGAGCAGGGCAUGAAGACACCCCUCAGGCAGCCCAUAGAAGGCCCUCACAGGGAGCAGAGCCCUUACCAGAGGCACUGCAGUUUGUAUCUGUAGGAGGUGCCAGCUGCAGGCUGGAGGCCACUCCUGGGGACCAUGAGUGUGUUGUCCCAAGCUGCAGGCAGCCCUGCCAGGCUCACCUGCUGCUCCAUGCUGCUGCUCCGCCUCUGCAAGAACAGCACAGACUGAGAUCACUUCCUCCCUCUUCUAACAGCUCCAACAGGAUUUCUGUUGUCACACCCUCUGUCCACCCUCCACUCUUUCAGGGAUGCCCCCCCAUCUCACAGAUAAGCCUAGAUCACAUCCACCCCCACAUUCCCCCAGGCCUGGGGUGACCAAACCCAUCCUGAACCUGGCUGCAAGUGCUUCUCCCACCCUGGGCAGUUGCUCACUUCACCCUCCAGCACCGAUCCAGGCAGAACCAGGGACCCUGAGGAUCUCCUCUGAGUUCUUCCAGGGCUCAGGUGGCAAUGACAAGUUGAGGCUUGGCAAAUUCAGUGUCUUUGCUGAGGCUGGAGAAGUGAUGUGGGCCCAGGUAGCUUGGCCAGAAGAACAGGCUGCUUCCCUGAGCGCUCCCCUCUGAUGCUGAGGAAAAAACCAGCAGGAAUAAGUCAGUGGGGCCAAACUGGCAGAAGAAAACUUAUGGUUUUCAAUAUCAAAGGGAAACUUCAGAGACCAAAUCAAUACUGAAGAGCAUUUCAGAAACAACCCCAGGCUGCCAGGAGGGAGAUAUUCUGAGCUGCCCUCAUGGCAGCUACAAGAGCAGGUCUGCAGGCACAGACCAUUCAGUUUGGUCUCCCUGCUGACCCAUCAACACCCAGUGUCCACAGAAAGACCAGCACUGAAAGUUGUAUCACUUACAGGGUCUUGUGAAAACUGUCAAAUGGGGACUGACAGCCAACAUUUUAUUUGACCAAAGAGCAGAACCCAGAAAGCUGAUACAGAACUCAGAAUAUUUCCAAAAGUGCCAAUUUUUUACCAGCUUUGGAAGAAGGCUGUCUUCAGAGAGCUGUUACCUCAAAGUCUGAGGCCAAAAGAACGAUUCUUUUUUCUUUUUUUUUGCUCAAGAUCCUGGAUUGAGCUGUCCUGGCUGUCAAGGCAAGCAGAGCUUCUCUUCCACCUUAGCAAAUUCACGUGGUGCUACUUCAAAAGCAAAUGCCUUGCCAGUCCUUGGAAUUGAAUGCACUAAGGAGAAAGAAGUAUUUUACAUCAAACAAAGAAAACGUGGAUGAAGCUUGUUCAUGCACUAAAAAAAGGACAAUCUGUGUCACAUGUGAGGUGCAGAGACAUCAGCACUUCUCAGAUCAAUAUUAGAACUAGCGUGAUGUUUUUCCUUUCCUAGGAUGUGCAUCCCUCUCCCUUCCAUAAAAAGAGAUGCGCAUCCCUCUCCCUCCCUGUUGUUCUGCAUUAUAAUCCCACACCACCUAGGCAGAGACUGCUCCUACUCAAGCAGUUCCCAAGGGAGCCUUUCAGCCACCAUGCAGUGGCUGCAGCACAGACCAUAUCUAAAAACUGUCUUGCAAGUGAAAAAUCCUCCCGCAGAUCACCACCCUUAGAUGCCUGACUGAAUCCUGUGGAAUCACCAUGAAAGAUUGUGAAAAGAGUAUCUUGGCCUGAAUUGUUCUUAGUAAACCCUGAUCUUCGGCCUCCUUC